GUCAUUUUGUCUUUAAAAAAAUGAGUUAUUUCCGUUUGAACAGAAGUCUUCUAAUGAAUAAGUAUUUCAUCAAAAAUUUAAUUCUAGAGAAAGGGCUUCAACUGAACAAAGAGAAAAGCUUAAAGCGUGAAUAAUGAAUUUGACCUGUAACUUGUCAUGAUAAAUCAAAUCAAAAUCUACAAGCACAAAAAAGUCUGAUUUGCCGAACUGACAGAUAGACAGACUGACAGACACGCAGUGCAAACCUAAGUCCACUUAGACGUUAGCCGUUAGGGGACUAAAAAUCAAAAUCUCAAAGUAUCAACAAACACAAAAGAGAUGCUCUUUGGAGAGGGAACAUUCAAGAUAUUUUUGGAAAAGCUUUCGAUUUUUGAAGAAGUAGGGUUACCUCAAAUGUCUUUCUUUUAUCUUGAUUUAAUCUGAGAUAUAAAUCAAAAACUUUUAUAUGGCACAUUAUAUAUGCAAACAUAAUCUUUUUUCGUAGAUAAAAAAAAAUGGCCACAUUUUUUUUACAUACGCUCUAAUAGACACAACUUUCUAAUCAAGACACUCAAAGAGUGAUUGGCCCUAUAAUUGGUUGCAUUCCAAUCAAAAGUUUCAAAGAGG
rnacentral:lncRNA from 1 species